AGGAAUCCCCUGCCCACCCCCAGGGCUCUCUGUCCACCGCCUGCCGCGCAUGCUGGGCUCUGUGCACACAGGGGAAUUGCCCUUUUCCCUCCCCUUCCCCUUUUCUGCUUUAGGCCCCACUUCAGCCCUUCUUAUGAACCAGGGAAAGAAGUAGCCUCUCCUGGUAGGAAACAUAAUAAGAUCUAUGGUAUUUAAUAAGAUCAUCCAAGACUCGGCGCUGUGGCAGUUUUCCAGUGACAUUCGUUCUUUUGGGAGGGAAUCUGAUCCAUGGAGCCUCUCUUAGGAACACGGUCGUGCAAGGAUCUGGGAAAGAACUCUGGAAAUGGGGUUGCGGUGGCCGGGGAACACAAAUGCAAAGGUUCCCAGGGGUAUGAGCUUGAUGUGCUUGUGGAACUAAAAGAAAAGCUGGCCAGGCAAGAUGCCUCAGCCAUGAAUCUAUGAGUGAGAAAAGAAAUCUUCUUGGAUAAAUCUGGAAACCAUCAUUCUCAGAAAACUGACACAAGAACAGAAAAUCAAACAUUGCAUAUUCUCACUCAUAGAACUGCCUAGAAUCUUUGACAUCUUCCUCAUCAUGGCCUUCCAUGCACAUCUGCAGGUCAAGCUUCUCCGACCAUGAAGCCGGUCCUUUCAGGUCUCACAAAUACACAGCUCAUGGAGUAUGGGUUCCAGGGAUGACACUCUGGGAAAUGAGUUCUGGUGAAAAGAGCAUUUUGCUAGAAUCACAUCCCAGAUCCAUCACUGCUCAGCCAGCUGUGUGAAUUGGGUGAAUCCCACAACCUCUCUGGGUCCCAGGUUCCCCACCUGACAAAGGAGGGUGAUGGUGCCCACCUCUCAGGAGCUGUGUGGGGGGAUUACUAGACAGUGCCAGAGAGUGUGCAGCUUGGGGCUGAUGCAGUUGCUCCCUAGGGGGGAGGCCUUGGUGGCAGGACCUCCUCUUCCUGCACUGCCUCUGCCACCAGAUGCAAAGGCUGAUUGUCACUGAGGUGUGUCAUGAGACCAUGGGGGCUGGGGUGGGGAGUGGGGAGAUGGAGUUAGAGUCUAGAAGACCGGGAAGGCUGAGUUGGAGCCAGCUGAAAGCAGGCUGGAUAACUGAAAGCCGAGAGCUGGGGAGGAGGCGGAAUAAUCCCAGAAAGUGCAGUCACUUGCAGAACUGGGGAUAGGGUAAGGCAUCAUCACCCUGGACACAAAAUUUAAGGGGGCGCCAAAAAUGUGCAAGAUAAAUAACAUUCUAAUGCAAUAUAAAAAAUAAUCAAAAGCCAAUAUUAGUGCACAAAAAUUCCUGAUGACUGAAGUGUCCUCUGGGCUUGGGCAUGAUGCUCAUAGUCACAGGGCUGAGCUCCCUCUGGGUUUGCUAAGAACAGGAACCUCCCACCCACCUCCUGCUCUGCACAGGGCCCAGGCUGGCGGGUGAGCUCAGAUCCACUCCUUCCUCUUGCCGCCCACUCUGGGCUCAUCUCCUGGAAGCCCCUCUCGACUCCUCUCAGCUGGACAGGACCUUGCUCUGGAAGCCCUUGGGGCACUGAGUACCCCUCUAACAGCACUUGCUCAAUCUUGGGUUUUAGGUGUUCUGGUUCGGUUCCCUCCCUUACCAUAGCUUGAAAUUCCUAAAGGCAGAGAAUGUGUGCCUUCACGAGCUGUGUGGGUGCAUUCAAAGUGAAAUCCACCAGGAAAACCAAACUGGGGCAUGAGAGGUGUGGCUGGGGUUAGGCUGCUCCUUCCUCAAGUGUGAUGUCACUUUACUGGCACAUCUUCUAGAGGUAGUGAUGGGAUACCCUGGAUUGGAGCUGUUCAUCGUUGUGCCUCUGAUAUGGUUUGGCUCUGUGUCCCUACCCACAUCUCACCUUGAAUUGUAAUAAUCCUUAUGUGUCAAGGAUGGGACCGGGCAGAGUAAUUGAAUCAUGCUGCAGGUUUUCCCCACUUUGUUCUUGUGUGAGUGAGUGAGUUCUCACGAGAUCUGAUGGUUUUAUAAACAUCUGGCAUUUCCCCCGCUAAUACUCAUUCUCUCUCCUGCCGCCCUGUGAAGAGGUGACUUCCGCCAUGAUUGUAAGUUUCCUGAGGCCUCCCCAGCCAUGCAGAACUGUGGGUCCAUUAAACCUCUUUUCUUUAUAAAUUUCCCAGUCUCUAUAACUCGAUCAAGACAGUUGCAGGUGGGCAAAUGAAAAAAAAUAAAAAUAAAUUACCCAGUCUCAGGAAUUUCUUCAUAGCAGCACGAGAACAGACUAAUACAGCCUUUCAGAGGACUAGCACAGCCCCAGUCUAAUGGCACUGGGAGCCCCUGGCCACUCUGCCAUAGUAGUCAUAACUACCAUGGACACUGGUGGUUAUAGACAUUGUCCCGUUUAAUAUUCACAAUCUUGCUGAUUGCUGUCCCAUUUUACAGGUGAGUAAACCAGUGCUUCAGGCAGUUACAUUUGUGAGGUUUGUGAAGCUGAUAAACCGUGGGCAGGGCAGGAUUCCAUGCCCAGGUCUCCCUGACUCCACACCCACGUGCUAAACCUUAGGCUGUGGGGGAUACGUGGGGAUGAGAACCCUCUCAACACCGGGGUGGAGAUUUUGGGAGCUCUGAUGACAGCUUUUCCUGUCCAUGGUAAAGGAGAAAAGGGAAGACUCUCUCUCUCUAGACUCUCUGCAUAGGAAUAUCUCUGUUCUAUUUGAGGGGUCCUCUGUCUCUCCCUCCCCAUCACAAACCACACACUGUGGCAGGGGCUGGUGGUGGGAGGUUGCUGGAGCUGCUCUCAUUAUAAAAUUGCCUUGGAGAUGGUCCCAGCCUCAGCCCACCUAUAUUGAUAAGUCUUGGGCUGCAGACUUAUUAUUUGAUAUUUAUAAUACCCUGUUCUGCACCCUCAUGAUGGAUGGUUCAUACGUUGGGAUCAAUAUGGGCCUGGUAACAUUUACAUAUUUAUAUUAUUAAUAAGCAAUAAGUCACCCAGGCAGCCCUGCUCUGGGUGUUCCAUGCCUUCCCUGCAGACAGCUAACCUUGUCCUCCAUCUCUUGCCUCAGCCCUGAUGGCUGGUAUUGAUCUGCUCAGCUGGAAGGGGGCACAGAACAGAGCAUGGAGCCAGGCAGUGUCAGAGCCGGGGAAAUGACACUGGUGUCUUUUGCCUUCUGUUUGACCCACCAGCUCUUGACACUCCAGCAUGGAGGGGGACCCUCCUGUGUGGUCUUCUGCAGACAGCAACCACCUGGCUGGUGGAUGGCUUUCUCCUUAAUGCCUCCUCAUCCAGCUUGCCAUCUCUGUCCUCUCUGCCCUCCCCCCAGGUCCUUGGUGGUGCAUACCUGGAUGCUGACCUGCCUCUUCUCUGCCUCCAGCCAUCCACACUCCUGUGUCCCACCUGCUCUGCUGCCAGAAUUUGCUUCUCACUGCCCUGCCGAGUGCCUGCUUGGGGUCACCACUCUGCUCUGAAAUCUCUCAUGCUUUUCACCUGCUGACUCCUCUACCCACCUUCAAGACCCGUGGUCAUCUACCUGCUGGCUGACCUGGUGUCCUGCCUUUUCCCAACCUGCAUCUCUGCUAGCCUGGCCCAUAUCUUGCCAUCAUCCAACACAUGUGCAUGCACACACAUACACAUGCACACACAUACACAUUCACAUACAUGUGCACACACACAUGCACACACACAUACGUGCACACACACACUUGUUAUACUCACCUCUUGGUUUAUUCUGGUCCACCCUCCUAGAAUGCCCUUCCAGAUAUCUCUGCCAGCACAAAAGUCUACUCCUCCUGUGAGGUGACCUCAAGUUCCAUCCACCCUAUAAAGUGCUGCCCAGGUUUUCUAAAAAGGUUUAGGACAGAUAAAAAGAAUGCAUAAAAUAUAAGAAGACUGGCAUAAAUGAAGAGUUUGGUCAAACAAGAAUGAUGUAAAAUGGAGCAGACGUAAAACUAAAGAUGCGUGUCCCUGUGGGAUACACGUUGAAACAACUUUGAUUCUAAGUUUUCCAAUAAUCACAGUGAAAUGGGUCACAUGGCGGAGUCUAUGUCUCCUCCCUGGAAUCCAGGCUCUGUGACCACUUCAUUGAUAGAAAAGGUGGAAAUGAUGCUGCGUUCAUUUCUGGGACAAGGACUUCAGAAACGAGAAACUUGACCUACUUGCCUCUCGAAGGAGUGCUCUUAGAACUCGCCAUAUUGUGAGGAAGCCAACAGCAUAUGAAGAGGCCAAGGAAAAGCCAGCUGUCAUAUGAUGAGCAGCCCCAUGGAGAGGGUGUGUGGGAAGAACCUGGAAUCUCCAGCCAGCAGCCAUGUGAAUGCAUCAUCUUGAAAGCAGAUCCUCCAGCCCCAGUCCAGCCUUCAGAUGACUGCAGCCCUGGCCAAUAUCUCAACUGCAGCCUCAUGAGAGAACCCAGACUAGAACACCCAGCUGAGCCCUCCUGGAUUCCUGACCCUCAGAAACCAUUAGAGAUGGGGUUUCAUCAUGUUGGCCCGGCUGGUCUCGAACUCCUGACCUUGUGAUUCACCUGCCUCGGCCUCCCAAAGUGCUGGGAUUACAGGUGUGAGCCACUGCACCCGGCUUGACCAUUCGGUUCUGAGAUAACUGAGUCUUCUUUGGAUCUUCUUCUAAACUUGGUGCAAACUGGAGGCGCUUAAUAAAUGCUUUUGGGAUGCAUGAAUGCAUAUUGGACACCAUAUCUGACUGUGUCCCUUUUUGCAUGAUUGGGCUAACUUCCAACUGCCAGCUUUGGCCUCUCAGAGCCUUGGGAGGCCCCUCAGCCUAUAUGUGCAGCAAGCCAGAAAAGCCUUGAAUGAGCAUCACCCAGAAGCAGCCUCAGCUGAGGAUGAUCAUGAGUUGACAUGCAAACAUCUCAGCUUACCCCUUAUGUAGGUUUGGGAGUGGAUGGUUUCAGAUCCUGCGUUUUGUGUCAUUUUGAGUUUCCCCACAGGAUGCAGCCCUAGUGCCCCUUUUGGCAGUGGGCUUAUGACAGCCCUUCCCUGAAUGCCUUCCCUUCUCUGGGUCACUUCCUUGUUCUCCUGCUGGGGCUCCCCCCAUAACCAGUACCUCUCAAAUAGACGAUUUGUGCUCAGCUCCACUCAGGGUCUGCUUCUUAGGGAACCAAGCCACGAUUAUGGAGAGGCAGAGCCUGGAUAUGUGGAGAAGCAAGGUGCCCCCAGCCCAGGCCUCAGAAUUGCACAGAGGACAUCUGGAGAGCUGAGCCCCUGGUGAUGUGACCUUGCCUGAUGUGCAGAGAGGACACUGGGCCUUCCAAAGCUGGACCCAAUUUUAGAGCGUUGCCGAGCCACACCUCUGAUCCGGGAGCCCUGUUCUUGGUUUGAAACUUUCACCUCGGCAGGGCCUCUGUCUACCUUGGGAGGGGAGAGCAGGUCCAAGGGUGAUGUCAGCUGCCUCAGCAUAGAGCCUGCAGCUGGCACUGCUGGGAGGCAUGGCAAGCUUUCUGCACAGAAGAGGCUGUUCCCAGGCAGAUGGCACUUUGCUAACAUGUUGGUGGUGUGACCGCAUGGUUUCCAAUGCUUAGAGUGUUUGUACCCUUCACAGGGGCUUCCCCUGAGGGGUUACAGGAGGGAGUCAGACCGCAUCUGGCUUCUGGAAAACCCCAGUUUUUACCAGCCUCACCUUCCACCUGGAGCCCCUUCAGCUCUGCCUUUUGUUCUCCCCCUUCGAUCCUAGUCCCUUUCUUCAGCUCUCAGGGUCCGGCUGUUGUAUCCUGCGGGGCUUGGCUUCCACCUGACCAGUGAGAACUGGAGCUUGGUGGGUGGGCACUGGCCUGCUCGGUGUCUCCCUUCUUAUCCCUGUUCACCAGGGAAUGAAGGUUCCAGGGCAGCACAGGAUUUACUGUGAAAGAUCCUGAGCCCGUGGCUCCUACUCAAAACCAGAUUCAUUCGUGACUUCCAUUACCCAGGCACUGGCUGUGUUCUAAGCUGGGAGAUGCCACAGGCGGUGUAAAGACCCAGUGGGUCCACCCUCAAGAGAGUAGGCAAGAUAGAGCAGAGGAACAAGAACAGAGCAGGGGAAGCCAUCAGUGCCCCAUGAAGAAGCCGGAUAGCUCUCGUAGGGGCCUCCUUGUGCUAGAUGCCUUCAUGAACAAGCAUUCCUGAGGUCCUUCCAGUGGGGCGGAGAGCUGCUCCUCCCCAUAGCCACCCUCAGCCUUUCCUGACUGCUGCUCUGUGCUGGGAGGCAGAGCUCCGUAGACUGCUCACUAAGCUAUCGACUCAGGUCACAGAGAGAGGGUGGGGAUUUUCCCAGCCUCCGACUCCUGUCAAAGCCCUGUUCCCAUUCUGCAGCCUUCUACAGCGAAGGGACAGCUGUGCUUUCUCCAGGCACUCACUUGUUGCACAAAAAUAUGGUUUCCCUAAACCCUGCCCACAUCUUGGAAUAAAGCCGCUUCCAGGGCCAGCUGUGUGGGCCUGUGACCCACGACGUCAUCCUGUUCCCGGCGCUUAGAAGGGUCCACGUCUGCUCUAAUGCCCUGCUGUUAUCAUCUUGAAAUUCUUAACAGUUUUUAACCAAGGGACCUGCAUUUUCCUUUGCUCUAGAUCUGCAGGUUAUGUAGCUGUUCUUGGUCCCUUGUCUAAGGCUCCCUGGUCAGCCUGUUGGCAGGUGCCAUCUGCUUGCUGCCGGCUUCAUUUUUCAUCAGCAAACAGAGGUUGAAGGAAGCCUAAUAACUUGCCUGAGACCAUAGAACUAGUAAGUAGCAGAGCCGGGAUUUGAAUGUGCAACUUCCACCUUGGUAGCCCCUGUUUGAGUCCCCAGAUGAAACGCCUGUGAUGUCAGUCUGCAGCACUUUGCAUAUAAACUGAUUGCUCCUCCCUGGUGGGAAAGUCACGAGGCUUCCGGUGGCCCCUAUUUCUCUCCUCCUGAUUCUGGUGGUUUUCCUGAUUGCCUUGGCCCAGCCGUGCUCAAAGCCUCCCGCUGGCCUGAAUCACAGAUGCAGCUGCCCUGACCUCCUGGUGAUGGAGAGGCCAGGCCUCUCCCUGAUCACAUGAGCUGGGUUCCUCCAUCCCUACCAGCCUCCCCUCCUGUCUGCCACUUGCUGCUCCCAGCAGAGAGACCUUCACUCCUCAGUGCAGCCUUGAAGCUCAGGCCUGGACAUGAUGGAUGAGAAAGGGAAAUUUGGAAAGGACUUAACGUUCUUACCAGCUGCCUCUAAUUUUAUUUUGAAGAGAAGAAAGAGAGGGGCAUUGGCAGACAGGAGACGCUUCCCCUGAUGGAGCUGAGCUGGGAGUCAAGAUAAAUGAAGGCUCCUUUUGGACACUUGUUCCAACCCUCAAACUCUGUUUUCCUGGCAGACAGGCACGUGAUCACACCCUGCCGGGGGGCCCUGGGUGAAGCUGCUGUUCAGAUGCCCAUUGGAUGUUGGGGGUCUGGAAGGUUUCCACCCCUUUCAGCCUUUGAUCUUGGCCUUUCUGGUCAGCCUAGUCCCUUUGGAGACCACUGGACCUCCAGAAAAAUGGGAAGGACUCCGACUCUGGAUUCAGACAAAUCUGGGUCCGCUGCUCUUUCAUUUCCUGCAGGCCAGCAGGUGCAAUACUGAACCAAACCCGAAGGGCCCUGCGGUGAAUGAGUUUGGAUGCUGUCUCUGCCACGUCCUAGCAAGGCGACCUUGAGCAAGCUCCUUAACUCUCAGAGCUUUGUUUUCCUUCUCCGGGACACAGGGGAAGUCGCACCGGUUCUCAGCAUAAAUGUGAGCAUGGAGUUUUUGCAUAUAAGAGCUUUGCUGUAUGUUUGACACACUGUUCUGACUCCAGUGUACUAACCACUGGCAUUAUUUGGCAAAGGACGGUAGGCAAGACACAGCUUGGAGGGUGGUGGUCUGAGGGGAAUGGUGUCUGGUGUCCCAAGUUUGUGCCCUGUUUAUAAAUGCCCAGAAUCCAGUCCAGCACAGA